rnacentral:rRNA from 1 species
UACGUAGGGUGCAAGCGUUGUCCGGAAUUAUUGGGCGUAAAGAGCUCGUAGGCGGUUUGUCGCGUCUGCUGUGAAAACUCGGGGCUUAACCCCGGGCCUGCAGUGGGUACGGGCAGACUAGAGUGCGGUAGGGGAGACUGGAAUUCCUGGUGUAGCGGUGAAAUGCGCAGAUAUCAGGAGGAACACCGGUGGCGAAGGCGGGUCUCUGGACAGGUACUGACGCUGAGACGCGAAAGCGUGGGUAGCAAACAGG